UGAGGAAUAUUGCGCAAUGGGGGAAACCCUGACGCAGCGACGCCGCGUGAGUGAUGAAGGCCUUCGGGUUGUAAAGCUCUGUCAGAGGGAAAGAAAGGGGAUGCGGAAUAAUACCCGCAGCCAUUGACGGUACCCUCGGAGGAAGCACCGGCUAACUCCGUGCCAGCAGCCGCGGUAAUACGGAGGGUGCAAGUGUUAUUCGGAAUCACUGGGCGUAAAGAGCACGUAGGCGGAUGGGUAAGUCAGGUGUGAAAUCCCGGGGCUCAACUUCGGAACUGCAUUUGAUACUGCCCGUCUUGAGUGUGGUAGAGGGGGAUGGAAUUCCCGGUGUAGAGGUGAAAUUCGUAGAUAUCGGGAGGAACACCAGAGGCGAAGGCGAUCCCCUGGGCCAUUACUGACGCUGAGGUGCGAAAGCGUGGGGAGCAAACAG
rnacentral:rRNA from 1 species